GAUGAACGCUAGCGGCAGGCCUAACACAAUGCAAGUCGAACGGUAACAUAGAUUGCUUGCAAUCUGAUGACGAGUGGCGGCACGGGGUGCGUAACGCGUAUAGAAUCUACCUUAUACAGGGGGAUAGCCUUUGGAAACGAAGAUUAAUACCCCAUAGUAUUGUUAAGUGGCAUCGUUUAACAAUUAAAACUCCGGUGGUAUAAGAUGACUAUGCGUCCUAUUAGCUAGUUGGUAUGGUAACGGCAUACCAAGGCUACGAUAGGUAGGGGUCCUGAGAGGGAGAUCCCCCACACUGGUACUGAGACACGGACCAGACUCCUACGGGAGGCAGCAGUGAGGAAUAUUGGACAAUGGUCGGAAGACUGAUCCAGCCAUGCCGCGUGCAGGAAGACUGCCCUAUGGGUUUGUAAACUGCUUUUUAUACAGGAAGAAUAAGGAGCUCGUGAGCUCUGAUGACGGUACUGU
rnacentral:rRNA from 1 species